rnacentral:lncRNA from 1 species
GAUUCUAGAAGAGGUAGUGAUGGGUGUCGCACCCCAUGCAAAUUUAAUGUGCAUAAAGAAUGCAGUGUAGACUAGGAAGUGACUCCUAGGUCGUCUCUCAAGGACCAAACUAAGAUUCAGGAUUUAGGUCAAACACGUAGUAGGGGGGUUGUGAAAGGUUUGUGAAUGCGGAUGAAUUAAAUUAAAACAUAGAUGCAAACAGAAAUGUAAAAAUGGAAUGUAAACAGAAAUGUGAAAACAGAAUCAAAUACAGAAUAAAAAUGGUUGGUCAUUAACUCAAUUACUAUGUUUCCAAUCAUAGAUUAAUGACAAGUACAGACUGCUCUAAUCCAAAUCCAACAUGAAUCACCCAACUAAGCGAAGACUAAUUCGGUUUUCAUAAUUGCAAAUUAAGCGAAUGCAAUGCACAAAUUUAAUCAGUCAUGCACCAUAUAG